ensembl:snoRNA
AUCCAAGUUUAUUCCCUCUUCGAAGGGGGCCACUAGUGCCCCUCUUUUGGAAAGUAGCAACUUGGAAUAAAAUCUGGCAAGCCUCCGGUUUCUGAGGGAAGGGGAUGUUUAUUUCCUUUUCCUUCCUUUGACCGUGUACAUGU